AUUGAACGCUGGCGGCAGGCCUAACACAUGCAAGUCGAGCGAGCGGCGGACGGGUGAGUAAUGUAUGGGGAUCUGCCCGAUGGAGGGGGAUAACUACUGGAAACGGUAGCUAAUACCGCAUACCAUCAGAUGAACCCAUAUGGGAUUAGCUUGUAGGUGAGGUAACGGCGCACCUAGGCGACGAUCCCUAGCUGGUCUGAGAGGAUGAUCAGCCACACUGUGACUGAGACACGGCCCAGAUUCCUACGUGAGUAAGCAGUGGGGAAUAUUGCACAAUGGGCGAAAGCCUGAUGCAGCCGUGCCGCGUGUAUGAAGAAGGCCUUCGGGUUGUAAAGUACUUUCAGUGGGGAGGCGUUACCGGCAGAAGAAGGACCGGCUAACUCCGUGCCAGCAGCCGCGGUAAUUC
rnacentral:rRNA from 1 species